rnacentral:rRNA from 1 species
UACGUAGGGUGCAAGCGUUGUCCGGAAUUAUUGGGCGUAAAGAGCGUGUAGGCGGUCCGGUAAGUCAGCUGUGAAAGUCAAGGGCUCAACCCUUGAAUGCCGGUUGAUACUGUCGGGCUAGAGUCCGGAAGAGGCGAGUGGAAUUCCCGGUGUAGCGGUGAAAUGCGCAGAUAAUCAGGAGGAACACCGAUGGCGAAGGCAGGUCUCUGGGCCAUAACUGACGCUGAGAAGCGAAAGCCAGGGGAGCAAACGGG